GAUUGAACGCUGGCGGCAGGCCUAACACAUGCAAGUCGAACGGUAACAGGAAACAGCUUGCUGUUUCGCUGACGAGUGGCGGACGGGUGAGUAAUGUCUGGGAAACUGCCUGAUGGAGGGGGAUAACUACUGGAAACGGUAGCUAAUACCGCAUAACGUCGCAAGACCAAAGAGGGGGACCUUCGGGCCUCUUGCCCUCGGAUGUGCCCAGAUGGGAUUAGCUAGUAGGUGGGGUAACGGCUCACCUAGGCGACGAUCCCUAGCUGGUCUGAGAGGAUGAACAGCCACACUGGAACUGAGACACGGUCCAGUCUCCUACGGGAGGCAGCAGUGGGGAAUAUUGCACAAUGGGCGCAAGCCUGAUGCAGCCAUGCCGCGUGUAUGAAGAAGGCCUUCGGGUUGUAAAGUACUUUCAGCGGGGAUGAAGGGAGUAAAGUUAAUACCUUUGCUCAUUGACGGUACCCGCAGAAGAAGCACCGGCUAACUCCGUG
rnacentral:rRNA from 1 species